rnacentral:rRNA from 1 species
UACGGGGGGGGCAAGCGUUGUUCGGAAUUACUGGGCGUAAAGGGCUUGUAGGCGGCCAACUAAGUCCGACGUGAAAUCCCCGGGCUUAACCUGGGAACUGCGCUUGUAACUGGCAAGCUAGAGUGUGGCAGAGGGGGGUGGAAUUCCACGUGUAGCAGUGAAAUGCGUAGAGAUGUGGAGGAACACCGAUGGCGAAGGCAGCCCCCUGGGCUAACACUGACGCUCAUGCACGAAAGCGUGGGGAGCAAACAGG